GGACUGAAUAUGGUGCUGGGGAGUAGCCUGUUUGCUGUGCUUGAUCACGAGCUGCUGCGAAGUUGUGACUUUCACUUUCCCUUUCGAAUUCCUGGGUAUGUCUGGGAGGCCGGAGGAUGUGUCUGGUUAUUACACAGACUCAUAACUGUAGGUGGGAUCCACACAGCUCAGAACAGCUGGAUCUUGCUCAGUCUCUGUCAGGGGAAGGUUCCUUGGAGGAGGCCCUGGAGCCCGAGACAUGGAGGGAGCCGCUUUGCUGAGACUCUUUGUCCUCUGCAUCUGGACAAGCGGACUUUUCCUUGCUGUGGGAGUGAGGGCAGAGGAAGCUGCAGCGAGGUGAGUGUCUGUAAAUAG
rnacentral:lncRNA from 1 species